CUGCUGCCUUCCGUAGGAGUCUGGGCCGUGUCUCAGUCCCAAUGUGGCCGUCCACCCUCUCAGGCCGGCUACUGAUCGUCGCCUUGGUAGGCCGUUACCCUGCCAACAAGCUAAUCAGACGCGGGUCCAUCUUACACCACCGUGGUUUUCAAGGAAAACACAUGCAUGUUCUCCUGUUAUGCGGUAUUAGCACCUAUUUCUAAGUGUUAUCCCCCGGUGUAAGGCAGGUUGCCCACGCGUUACUCACCCGUCCGCCACUAAAACA
rnacentral:rRNA from 1 species